rnacentral:lncRNA from 1 species
AAAGAAGUGAGAACUGGAGUGCAAGAAUUAAAGCAUUUUCUUCUCUUUGACUAAGGUAUCUCUGCAGAUUUGAUUCAACAAGUGAAGAAGAGAGGAAGAAGAAAUACCAUGGAAUUAUAGAGGUUUGGCUUUCCAAGCCAACAUCCACUUUUAAAGACAAUAAGAGGAAUUUAUUCAACAAGAUUUAAGAGGAACAACCAUUCAAGAAUGGACUCUCUCAAAGGAAGAUGAUUUAGCUAAGCUUCUUUUCCAUGCUUUUCUUUCUGUCAACUAUCUGUUAGUUAUGACUAUCAACUGCUUUCUGUUUUGCUUGCUGCUGUUCAUCAGAGAGAGCUUAGAGCUUGAAAACUCAUCAGGUAAUUUGCUUCAACUUUAUAACAAUAUAUAUAGGUAAUAUCUAACCGUAGAAUUUUAUUUUAAAAGAAGCAUGUACAAACUUGACAAGUAAAACGUAUCAAGUAUUGAAUUGUAUGUAAUAGGUAAAAAUUGUCGAGGUUGAAAUAAUCUUGAUUGAUCAUAAAUUUUAAGAAUUUAGAUACUUGAAAUGUAAAACUAGUCAAUUGAUCUUCAUAUACUUGACAUUUAGGACAUAUUAAGUAAAUUAGUAAUUGUCGAAGGCUUUACUAACUUUUUCAAAGGUCACGCGUACCUUCGAUAACAUUUAAAUUAUUCAUCAAAAAAUGUUUAUUAUCAAAUGAUUUUUUUCGAAGGUUUUCAUAAAAUAACUUUUUCAACAAAUGUAUAAAUCUUUUGAAAAUUCUCGCUAAUGAUGAAACAUUGAAUUACAACGUAUGAGACUGACAAUCUACGACAUCAAAAUUACAAUUUCAAAAUGUUGUUAUGUAGAGGCAGAAUCCAAGACUAUCUAACCAACCAUUGAUCAAGAGUUUGAGUAGUACUUUUCAGUGCUUUUGGCAUCCCCUGAUCCUUGAUGUUUAGCAUCUUGAAUUUGAAUGUGUGCGUGUAUGUGUUCUUAGAGGUAAAACAGUUGUAACAUAUAAGCAAUUAUAUGAAAAAUCAACAAUUUCAUUCCCUGGUUGAUUACUCAACAGCCAUGAAACUAAUGAUCAGCAAAUCAAACACACAAAAAAGAGCAACUAUAAGGGGAUAUAAAACAUAGCAAAAUACAGAAUGUUGAUUGAUUAACGAAGGCAGUUAAUAUAAACAUAGCAAAAUAAAAACCUGCUAACUAUUAAUCUUACAAUUUUGCUGCUAGUAUUAGGAGAUUAGGAGAUCAAGUCAUCUCAUUCACAUAAAAAGAUUUCAAACAUAAAAUAAACAAAUUCGUUCUUCAUCUAAAAACCUUACUGUCCUUCAUCUAGUUUAGGAUUGCAUCUUUCUCUCUUCAUCUAAAUUCCUCUAUUGUCAUCUUCUUCACCAUCUUCUUCACCAUCUUCUUGACAACCUUCUAUGAUCAAAGGGGCAUUGUAAUAAUCUAAAUGACACAAUUUAAGGAUUCAUGAAUCCAGCAAAUAACAGACCCAUAAAAUUAGUACAUUUCAAUAGACCAAAUGCUAAAAGUAGCUUUAUACUACUCUAAUCUUCUCCGGAUGUUAUCAAGGAAAGAGCAUGAGCAUGGGACAAAACAACUUUUUCUUUGAUGUCCUAAACAUAAGUUUCCUACAAAUAAAAUUAAAUCUACACUUCAUUAUAUCAGUAGAGAAAGAAAACCUCGCUCCCAAUCAACAAUAUAAAGAAAACCCAUCAAAGCGUAUAAAUAAAAAUCCCUACAACCCAUGAGUUUAAGAAAAGUACCAAGUAAAUUCUGAGUAGAAAACUAGAAUGAAAUCAAUACCAAUCUAGCCCUAAACAACAUCCGUGCAAAACCUGAAUGAAAGAGAUUUUUACUCAAUACUUGUUCUAUUUCCUUGUUUCUAAAUAUGUUCAGUCAAAACCUAGAAAUCACCAUGAUUUUUCUAGUAAUCAAAGGGAGAUUCUCAAAACAAAGUUAGAAAAAACAACAUUUUCCAUGGAAACAAAAGAAGAACGGCUAUAAUCAGUGUAUAAAUAAAAUAAAAUAUGCAUAUGCAAGUGACGUCAACACAAAAGUGAGUCGUUUAGAAAUGCCAUGAAAUUGCAAAAAGGGACUAAAACUAUACAUACAAGGACAACCAGUAAAUAAAACCACAAGGAUUAUCCUUAAAAGUCAUAAUACACAUCUUCCAAACAUAACAUGAACUUGUUAAAAAAAAAUGAAAUAAAUAAACAUUCAACUCUAAUUUUACCUGGAGCCCAUCUUCAUAAUAGAAUUCGAAGUAGGAGGCUCUGAAUCUUCAAUUUUUCUCCAACAACAAUUGAACACACAAAUGAUUUGUACAUAACAUAAACGCAAAUAAUAAUAUAACACAUCUACACUAUUUUGUUUUUCAAAUAAUCUAGGAAAUGCAUGCCUUACAACUUUUUUUGUUAUCCAAGCGUGGGAUUAUAGUAAGCUUUUGCAAUCUUUGAAGGCAUAUCAGAAUGCGUUGCGUGUCUAAAGUAAUAGUUGUGCCCUCAUUCAUUCUAAAUUUCCACAACUUGAUAACUCAACUGUUGAGUUUCAGGUUUAUUUUGAAGUUCUAAAAUUUAUUGAUCUUUAAUAAUAUUUUACAGGAAAAUGAUAAAAAUAAUAUUGUCAAAUCUAGACUUAUAUUUUAAUUGUGCAAACUGUAAGUUAAAUUUCUCUUCCCUUUUUUAGUUUGAUUUGGCUUCUAAUGUGAUUAUUUGCUUUCUACCAUAUUGGUUAUUGCUAUUCAUUCAAUGAAUGAAGUCAGUGUUAGCUUCACAAAAAAAACUUGGUCAUGAUAAGCUUUUCGGCUUGUGUGGUCAAUUGAAGAAUGAUGAUAAAGUAUAUUGUCAAUCAAUGUAGGAAGAGAUUGUGAGGUUUAAUAAGGCCAGUUACUUACAUAGUAGAAUGUGUUUGCAUGCAUAGAGUAUUUUGAGAUUAUGAGCCUAAUUCUUUCUAGUUGAGGUUAACCAAGCAGUGGAAAGAGUGACCUAAUUUUACCAUAACCAAAUGGAUAUUUAGGGCUUUUUAAUUCUUGAGAUGCAAAGUAGCAAUUAGGUUUUUAUUCAAAUCAUCUUAUUAAUCAAAUCAAGAGGAUAAACGUAAAUCAGUUUAUUCAAAACAAGUAGAAAACGAAAUCAAUUACCAGGUCCGAUGAGAUUGACAGAGGACGAAGCAGUGUGAAUAACCACGAGCUUGAAUGGGAAAGAAGGUAGUGUGAUCGAGCUUCGACUGUCGUGCGUGUGGCUAGAGUCAGCCCAUGGAGCAGAAGAAGGUAGCUCAUGAAAGGGAAUCUGU